ACCUUCAGUGCACGCUUCGGUUGUGCUUUGAUGCUGGCGUAAUGGCUUUAAGCGACCCGUCUUGAAACACGGACCAAGGAGUCUAACAUAUGUGCGAGUGUUUUAACACUCGCAUAUAUGUUAGAGUUC
rnacentral:rRNA from 1 species